rnacentral:tRNA from 1 species
UUAUUGGUGGUUCAGUGGUAGCACGCUCGCCUGCCACGCGGGUGACACGGGUUCGAUUCCCGACCAAUGCA